rnacentral:rRNA from 1 species
CCUACGGGGGGCAGCAGUAGGGAAUAUUGGGCAAUGGGCGAGAGCCUGACCCAGCCAUGCCGCGUGCAGGAAGAAUGCCUAUGGGUUGUAAACUGCUUUUAUGACAGGCGGUGUACCAAUAGAAUAAGCACCGGCUAACUCCGUGCCAGCAGCCGCGGUAAUACGGAGGGUGCAAGCGUUGUCCGGAUUUAUUGGGUUUAAAGGGUGCGUAGGCGGCUUUUUAAGUCAGUGGUGAAAUCCUACAGCUUAACUGUAGAACAGCCAUUGAUACUGAAGAGCUUGAGUACAGACGAGGUAGGCGGAAUUUAUGGUGUAGCGGUGAAAUGCAUAGAUACCAUAAAGAACACCGAUUGCGAAGGCAGCUUACUAGACUGUACUGACGCUGAGGCACGAAAGCGUGGGGAUCAAACAGGAUUAGAUACCCUUGUAGUC